rnacentral:rRNA from 1 species
GAUGAACGCUGGCGGCGUGCCUAAUACAUGCAAGUCGAGCGAACGGACGAGAAGCUUGCUUCUCUGAUGUUAGCGGCGGACGGGUGAGUAACACGUGGAUAACCUACCUAUAAGACUGGGAUAACUUCGGGAAACCGGAGCUAAUACCGGAUAAUAUUUUGAACCGCAUGGUUCAAAAGUGAAAGACGGUCUUGCUGUCACUUAUAGAUGGAUCCGCGCUGCAUUAGCUAGUUGGUAAGGUAACGGCUUACCAAGGCAACGAUGCAUAGCAGACCUGAGAGAGUGAUCGGCCACACUGGAACUGAGACACGGUCCAGACUCCUACGGGAGGCAGCAGUAGGGAAUCUUCCGCAAUGGGCGAAAGCCUGACGGAGCAACGCCGCGUGAGUGAUGAAGGUCUUCGGAUCGUAAAACUCUGUUAUUAGGGAAGAACAUAUGUGUAAGUAACUGUGCACAUCUUGACGGUACCUAAUCAGAAAGCCACGGCUAACUACGUG